GCCAACGAGUGGCGGACGGGUGAGUAACACGUAGGUAACCUGCCCAGAAGCGGGGGACAACAUUUGGAAACAGAUGCUAAUACCGCAUAACAACGUUGUUCGCAUGAACAACGCUUAAAAGAUGGCUUCUCGCUAUCACUUCUGGAUGGACCUGCGGUGCAUUAGCUUGUUGGUGGGGUAACGGCCUACCAAGGCGAUGAUGCAUAGCCGAGUUGAGAGACUGAUCGGCCACAAUGGGACUGAGACACGGCCCAUACUCCUACGGGAGGCAGCAGUAGGGAAUCUUCCACAAUGGGCGCAAGCCUGAUGGAGCAACACCGCGUGAGUGAAGAAGGGUUUCGGCUCGUAAAGCUCUGUUGUUAAAGAAGAACACGUAUGAGAGUAACUGUUCAUACGUUGACGGUAUUUAACCAGAAAGUCACGGCUAACUACGUGCCAGCAGCCGCGGUAAUACGUAGGUGGCAAGCGUUAUCCGGAUUUAUUGGGCGUAAAGAGAGUGCAGGCGGUUUUCUAAGUCUGAUGUGAAAGCCUUCGGCUUAACCGGAGAAGUGCAUCGGAAACUGGAUAACUUGAGUGCAGAAGAGGGUAGUGGAACUCCAUGUGUAGCGGUGGAAUGCGUAGAUAUAUGGAAGAACACCAGUGGCGAAGGCGGCUACCUGGUCUGCAACUGACGCUGAGACUCGAAAGCAUGGGUAGCGAACAGGAUUAGAUACCCUGGUAGUCCAUGCCGUAAACGAUGAGUGCUAGGUGUUGGAGGGUUUCCGCCCUUCAGUGCCGGAGCUAACGCAUUAAGCACUCCGCCUGGGGAGUACGACCGCAAGGUUGAAACUCAAAGGAAUUGACGGGGGCCCGCACAAGCGGUGGAGCAUGUGGUUUAAUUCGAAGCUACGCGAAGAACCUUACCAGGUCUUGACAUCUUGCGCCAACCCUAGAGAUAGGGCGUUUCCUUCGGGAACGCAAUGACAGGUGGUGCAUGGUCGUCGUCAGCUCGUGUCGUGAGAUGUUGGGUUAAGUCCCGCAACGAGCGCAACCCUUGUUACUAGUUGCCAGCAUUAAGUUGGGCACUCUAGUGAGACUGCCGGUGACAAACCGGAGGAAGGUGGGGACGACGUCAGAUCAUCAUGCCCCUUAUGACCUGGGCUACACACGUGCUACAAUGGACGGUACAACGAGUCGCGAACUCGCGAGGGCAAGCAAAUCUCUUAAAACCGUUCUCAGUUCGGACUGCAGGCUGCAACUCGCCUGCACGAAGUCGGAAUCGCUAGUAAUCGCGGAUCAG
rnacentral:rRNA from 1 species